rnacentral:rRNA from 1 species
AGGAGUUUGAUCAUGGCUCAGAGUGAACGCUGGCGGCAGGCCUAAUACAUGCAAGUCGAACGGCAGCACAGCAGAGCUUGCUCUGUGGGUGGCGAGUGGCGGACGGGUGAGGAAUACGUGGGAAUCUGCCCAGUCGUGGGGGAUAACGUAGGGAAACUUACGCUAAUACCGCAUGCGCCCUUCGGGGGAAAGCCGGGGACCUUCGGGCCUGGCGCGAUUGGAUGAGCCCACGUCGGAUUAGCUAGUUGGCGGGGUAAAGGCCCACCAAGGCGACGAUCCGUAGCUGGUCUGAGAGGAUGAUCAGCCACACUGGAACUGAGACACGGUCCAGACUCCUACGGGAGGCAGCAGUAGGGAAUAUUGGACAAUGGGCGCAAGCCUGAUCCAGCCAUGCCGCGUGAGUGAAGAAGGCCCUCGGGUUGUAAAGCUCUUUUGUCCGGAAAGAAAAGCGCCGGGUUAAUACCCUGGUGUCCUGACGGUACCGGAAGAAUAAGCACCGGCUAACUUCGUG